rnacentral:lncRNA from 1 species
GUCUGUAUGGCUGUGUGUCCGUCUGUCCGUGGGCCCAUCUGUCCGUGUGUCCCAUGGCCAUGUGUCCAUCUGUCCAUCUGUCCGUCUGGCUGCGUGUCCGUACGGCUGUGUGUCCGUGUGUGUCUGUCUGUCCGUGUGUCCGUCUGUCCGUGUGCCCGCAUGGCCGUGUGUCUGUCUGCAUGGCCGCAUGUCCUCCUGUCCGUGUGCCCCCAUGUCCGUGUGUCCCAUGUCUGUGUGUCUGUCCUCCUGUCCGUGUGUCCCUACAUCCCCAUAUCCCAGUGUUUGUGUCCCUCUGUCCGUGUGUCCUCAUGUCCGUUUGUCCUCCUGUGUGUCCCUACAUCCCCAUAACCCGGUGUCCGUGUGUCCCCAUGGCCGUGUGUCCCCAUGUCCGUGUGUAUCCCCAUGUCCGUAUGGCCGUAUGUCCUCCUGUCCAUGUGUCCCCCUGUCUGUUUGUCCCCACGGCUGUUUGUCCCCGUGUCCCCAUGUCCGUGUGUCCGCAUGUCCGUGUGUCCUCCUGUCUGCGUGUCCCCGUGUCCAUGUGUCCCAUGUCCAUUUGUCCCAUGUCCGUGUGUCUCCGUGUUCACGUGUCCCCAUGUCCGUGUGCCCCCGUGUCCGUGUGUCCCAUGUCCAUGUGUCCUCCUGUCCGUGUGUCCCCAUGUCCGUGUGUCCCCGUGUCCGUGUGUCCCCGUGUCCGUGUGUCCCCACAUCCAUUUGUCCCCAUGUCUGUGUGUCCUCCUGUCCCCGUAUCCCAGUGUCCGUGUGUCUCAUGUCUGUGUGUCCCCACAUCCCUUUGUCCCCGUGUCCCUGUGUCCCAUGUCCAUUUGUCCCCGUGUCCGUGUGUCCCAUGUCCGUGUGUCCCCACGUCCCUUUGUCCCCGUGUCCCCGUGUCCCACGUCCGUGUGUCCCAUGUCCGUGUGUCCCUGUGUCCAUGUGUCCCCAUGUCCGUGUGUCCCUGUAUCCCCUGUCCACGUGUCCCCAUGUCCAUGUGUCCCGUGUCCGUGUGUCCCAUGUCCGUGUGUCCCAUGUCCAUGUGUCCCAUGUCCGUGUGUCCCACGUCCGUGUGUCCUGUGUCCGUGUGUCCCAUGUCCGUGUGUCCCGUGUCCAUGUGUCCCAUGUCCGUGUGUCCCACGUCCGUGUGUCCCCCCCUCCCACGCCGCCCACCCCUCACACAGCACAGCUCCGACCCCACAUUUAUUCACCCUCACCCCACAGAUGGGGGCCGACCCCACAAACGGCCCUAAGGAGGGCUGGGGGGCUUUGGG